GCUUCGGUGGCGUAGUGGUAGAGCACGAGUCCCUGGUCUGGAUGAAACGCGAGUUCAAUUCCCGCCUGGGGCC